rnacentral:hammerhead_ribozyme from 1 species
AUCCAGCUGUCGAGUCCCAAAUAGGACGAAAAGCGUGUCCUGGAU